rnacentral:rRNA from 1 species
GUGAGGAAUAUUGGUCAAUGGACGAGAGUCUGAACCAGCCAAGUCGCGUGAAGGAAGACGGUUCUAUGAAUUGUAAACUUCUUUUGUGCAGGAAUAAAGUGGGUUACGUGUAACCUUUUGUAUGUACUGUACGAAUAAGGAUCGGCUAACUCCGUGCCAGCAGCCGCGGUAAUACGGAGGAUCCGAGCGUUAUCCGGAUUUAUUGGGUUUAAAGGGUGCGUAGGUGGAUUGAUAAGUCAGCGGUGAAAGUUUGCAGCUUAACUGUAAAAUGGCCGUUGAAACUGUCGGUCUUGAGUGCAAAUGAGGUGGGCGGAAUGUGUUGUGUAGCGGUGAAAUGCUUAGAUAUAACACAGAACUCCGAUUGCGAAGGCAGCUUACUGGGAUGCAACUGACACUGAUGCACGAAAGCGUGGGUAUCAAACAGGAUUAGAUACCCGGGUAGUCC